rnacentral:rRNA from 1 species
CCUACGGGUGGCAGCAGUGGGGAAUAUUGGACAAUGGGGGGAACCCUGAUCCAGCCAUGCCGCGUGUGUGAAGAAGGCCCUCGGGUUGUAAAGCACUUUCAGUGAGGAAGAACGCCUGGUGGUUAAUACCCAUCAGGAAAGACAUCACUCACAGAAGAAGCUCCGGCUAACUCCGUGCCAGCAGCCGCGGUAAUACGGAGGGUGCGAGCGUUAAUCGGAAUUACUGGGCGUAAAGCGCGCGUAGGUGGCUUGAUAAGCCGGUUGUGAAAGCCCCGGGCUCAACCUGGGAACGGCAUCCGGAACUGUCAAGCUAGAGUGCAGGAGAGGAAGGUAGAAUUCCCGGUGUAGCGGUGAAAUGCGUAGAGAUCGGGAGGAAUACCAGUGGCGAAGGCGGCCUUCUGGACUGACACUGACACUGAGGUGCGAAAGCGUGGGUAGCAAACAGGAUUAGAUACCCUUGUAGUC